CGCGAAUGGCUCAUUACAACAGCUAUAAUUUACUUGAUCUUGACUUCCUACUUGGAUAACUGUGGUAAUCCUAGAGCUAAUACAUGCACCAAAGCUCCGACCUUACGGGAAGAGCGCAUUUAUUCGAACAAAACCAAGCGGCUUCGGCCGUCCGCAGUUGACUCAGAAUAACUAAGCUGAUCGCAUGGUCUUGCACCGGCGACGUGUCUUUCAAGUAUCUGCCUUAUCAACUUUCGAUGGUAGUGUAUCUGACUACCAUGGUGGUGACGGGUAACGGAGGAUAAGGGUUCGACUCCGGAGAAGGGGCCAGAGAAAUGGCCACUACGUCUAAGGAUGGCAGCAGGCGCGCAAAUUACCCACUCUCAGAAUGAGGAGGUAGUGACGAGAGAUAACGAGACCGUUCUCUACGAGGCCGGUCAUCGGAAUGGGUACAAUUUAAACCCCUUAACGAGUAUCUAUGAGAGGGCAAGUCUGGUGCCAGCAGCCGCGGUAAUUCCAGCU
rnacentral:rRNA from 1 species